rnacentral:snoRNA from 1 species
GGAUGGGAUGAACCAACCUUUCAAAUCAAACUAGAGUUUGUGAAGCUAUUAAUGAGCACAACCCACGGUCUGAUC